CAACCACUCGGCCAUCUCUCC
rnacentral:tRNA from 5 species